rnacentral:rRNA from 1 species
GAUGAACGCUAGCUACAGGCUUAACACAUGCAAGUCGAGGGGUAGCAGGGUAGCAAUACCGCUGACGACCGGCGCACGGGUGAGUAACACGUAUCCAACCUUCCCAUAACUCGGGGAUAGCCUUUCGAAAGGAAGAUUAAUACCCGAUAGUACUUUAUUAAGGCAUCUUAAGAAAGUUAAAGAUUUAUUGGUUGUGGAUGGGGAUGCGUUCCGUUAGAUAGUUGGUGAGGUAACGGCUCACCAAGUCUUCGAUGGAUAGGGGUUCUGAGAGGAAGGUCCCCCACAUUGGUACUGAGACACGGACCAAACUCCUACGGGAGGCAGCAGUGAGGAAUAUUGGUCAAUGGGCGAGAGCCUGAACCAGCCACGUAGCGUGAAGGAUGAAGGUCCUAUGGAUUGUAAACUUCUUUUAUAGUAGAAUAAAGUGAACCACGUGUGGUUUUUUGUAUGUAUACUAUGAAUAAGGAUCGGCUAACUCCGUGCCAGCCGCCGCCGUAA